UAGUAAGGGGUGGCCAUAGUAAGGGGGAGGGGCUUUGUACAUCUGGGGAUGUAAUGUGGCCGUUCUGCAGCGUAGUGUAUUACUGAUGUGAGGAUGAUGGGGGUAGUAGUGAUGAGACCUCUGCUUCUUCCAGUGCCGGACGCUCCCCCCCGGCCCCCCUUCUCCUCUCGUCUUCUCUUUCACCCCACGUUUGAGGCGUAUUUCGCCGCCGUCGCCGUCUGUCAGAACCUGGAGACUCGGGAGAUGCGGCAGAGGCGGGAGGAAGGUAACGGCAGCAGAGCUGACACUCUAAUGACUGCUCUUAAAGGGCCAGACAACGCUCCAAUUACAAGGAUUUACUGCAAACCCUGGAGAAUAUUUCUACACCGACCCCUUACUGUCACCCGGACAACGAGUGUAUAACUGCCUGUCACCCGCCAGUGACCAGGUGAUGGGCUGUUUUCGCCUUCAGACGCCGCCUCCCAUCAUGUCUUCCUGUGUCUUCCCCUCCUCCUAUGAUGAUGACCCUAUGGGUGAUGAUGAAGAUAUCGCGGAGGACAUUUCACAUAAUGGAGGAUCCUCGGAGUUGCCCCUUCUUCCUCCCGGCUCUGACCCCGUGGACAUGGUCGCUCCCCAGUGUCUCGUCCUCCCAGUUUCAGGGUGUUGUGAGACGGUCAGUGCUGUCCCCUCCCCCGCGCUCUACACCCCGUCAGAGCUGGAGGCCGUGUGCGGACUGUUGUGUCUAUCGGCCACAUCCCCCCCGCACCGCGCACAAUAGACACUGAGCUCCGCCCACCUCUGUAUUAUUUGUGUUUUUUCUUGUAUUAGAGUGUAAGCUCUGCGGGUGAGCCCUGGUGUGUGGCCGGUAGUUCCGUCAGUCAUAGUGACACCUGCAGGCCGUCCACUGAUCUGACAGGUGAUUAGACACCUUAUCUGCUUGUAUACCAUGUCAGAGCGGUU